rnacentral:rRNA from 1 species
UACAGAGGGGGCAAGCGUUGUUCGGAAUUACUGGGCGUAAAGCGCACGUAGGCGGGUUUGUAAGUCAGGGGUGAAAUCCCGGGGCUCAACCUCGGAACUGCCUUUGAUACUGCAAAUCUCGAGUCCGGAAGAGGUGAGUGGAAUUCCUAGUGUAGAGGUGAAAUUCGUAGAUAUUAGGAAGAACACCAGUGGCGAAGGCGGCUCACUGGGCCGGUACUGACGCUGAGGUGCGAAAGCGUGGGGAGCAAACAGG